rnacentral:rRNA from 1 species
AUUGAACGCUGGCGGCAUGCCUUACACAUGCAAGUCGAACGGUAACAGGUUAAGCUGACGAGUGGCGAACGGGUGAGUAAUGUAUCGGAACGUGCCCAGUCGUGGGGGGUAACUACUCGAAAGAGUGGCUAAUACCGCAUACGACCUGAGGGUGAAAGCGGGGGACCGUAAGGCCUCGCGCGAUUGGAGCGGCCGAAAUCAGAUUAGCUAGUUGGUGGGGUAAAAGCCCACCAAGGCGACGAUCUGUAGCUGGUCUGAGAGGACGACCAGCCACACUGGGACUGAGACACGGCCCAGACUCCUACGGGAGGCAGCAGUGGGGAAUUUUGGACAAUGGACGCAAGUCUGAUCCAGCCAUGCCGCGUGCGGGAAGAAGGCCUUCGGGUUGUAAACCGCUUUUGUCAGGGAAGAAACGAGUUUCUCUAAUACAGAGACUUAAUGACGGUACCUGAAGAAUAAGCACCGGCUAACUACGUGCCAGCCGCCGCCGUAAUAC